UCUCUCCUCAUAGAAAACCCCUGCUUCCCAAAGCUUCUACCCCCAACCCCCCCCCCCAAAGUUGCAGCGCUUGGUUCGCCGGCGACCGAUCUGCCCUCUGGUCGCCGGCGAGCCUUCAAUUUCGGCGACCCCAGCAUUAAUUGGUGCGUAUAGUGUUCGGUGGUGCGAUUUUUUUCAUCAGUCGGAGGGUGAGUGUUGAUCGCACAUCGGCGGCAGAUCGGUUUAAAGAAUCAGUGUAUGCAUCUCUCUCGUGAAUGCGUUUUCCUUGUAUCAUAUUGUUGAUCUCAGGUUACGUGCUGGAAUAAAGAGGAAAGUUGGUUUCGGUGCAGAUCCCUCCCAAAGCUCGAGGAAAAAGCAUGCUUCAAGUUCUUGUGUUGCUAGCAAUAAGUCAGAUAUCAGUAAUGUGUCAAGUCCUAGUUUGCAAUCACAUGUUAGUAGUGAAUCAGAGGUCAGUAUUGUUUCAUGUUCUAGUCUAAUGUCGUUUAGUCUUGUAAGUCUAUGUUCAUCGAGUCCCAAAAUAAACGAAGCCCACAGCCUAUCCUUAGAAGGUAGGGAAACGGGCUCACUUGUAAUUUAAUGUUUUUAUUAAUGUA